rnacentral:lncRNA from 1 species
AGAUCCUAUUACUGAGCUAAAGUCAGAGCCAUGUGACUCUCCCGGUUGCACUGUAAGUCCCAGCUUUUGCCGACAGAUGAGUCCUUACGGAGGGUCUAGGACAACAUGACCAACAGUCAUUUGUACCAUAGCCCUAUGUUCCAUUUAUCAUAAUCAUGUUUAAUCAAUUAACCAUGGUUCCAUCACUAAUUUUAGAUCAUAUAUAAUUGGAGUUAGAGCACUAGCACUUCUACCCAUAUGCAAUAAAAGCCCUCGGGAACAAGGUAAUUGUCAUCAACAGCUAGGAUGUCCUUAUAGUUUGCAAUAUUAUACACAUGCAGGGUGAAAUGCUUAAAAAUGAGUAGGACAACAAGGUAGGCCCAUGCUAUACUUGCCUUGGUUCACGUACUCCUGCUGGUCUUGUUGGUUCUGCUGGUCCCCAAAGAGCUCCGGACUCCCGAAAUACUCCUCACCGUCUGGGCUCGAUCAACACAUCACAAUCAUCACGCAUACCAAGAAAAACAUGCAAGAGAACAAUUCCUAAAGUUAGAACAGUACACCAGCAGUAAAUAAAUUAAAUAAAAGUUUUUCCAAAAUCAUCUACGUGCUGCUACGAUCACGUCAACGCGAAAUUCACGAAAAAACGGAUUUACGACGCGAAAGUUACGCUUUUAACGGGAUUUCAACAGCAAUCUAUGGGCUUGUAAUUAACUAGGAAAUCUAACAGUGGUAAACCUAAACAACAGUGGUACCAACGUGAAGCUUACGAAAUUACGAAACUAACGCAACUUGAACGGAUCGAUUCAGAGUUCAAACGACGAUUUUAUAGCUAAAACAAUACGGUGGCAAUUCUAUAAAUAAAGCAGAGUCUAAACGAAUUUAAAUAAAUGAAUUAAAUCCUGGAAAUUCCUCUGGCCGAGGACUGCGCUUGCAAAAAUGGAAUUCCUGGGGGACUCUUUAACAAAAAUGCCCUCGAAGGGGUACGGGGCAUUGUAGGCCGUUGGAUCACAGAUGAACGCGCUGGAUUAAAAGAAAAAAAAUAAAAAAAACUGAGAGAGAGAGGAAGGGGACGGCGCACAGGCCAGCUCCGGCAAGAACACGGUGGCCACCAUUGCCGGCCGCAAGGAAGCUCGCCGGAGCAAGAGAAUAAGAACCUACGGUGCAUGGUUUUCGAUUCCGAACGCACUGGGAGAAAGAGGAGAGUGAUGCGAGUCCAUUCCAACCCAUAAACGCGGUCGAGGAGGCGGUUUCCGAGAAGGUUCACGGCGGCGCCAUGAACGUCCCGUCGGAGCUCGCGGAACUGGGACUCCGGGCCACGAUUCGCUAGGCAACAGGACGGGGAGGGAGCGGGAAGGGAGAUGAAGCUCACCACGGCGCCAAAACGCAGUGAAAACGACUCGGGACGGCGGCUUCGCGCGGCGGGCGGAAACUCCGGCGAUGGCGGUUUCCUGCGCAAGUCGAGAGGAGCAGAGGCAGGGAGAGAAGAAAAUGGGGAGGGGGAAAGAAAACUCGGGCGCAC